CAAUCUGCAUACACACAAUUAAUCUAGCCUCGCGUACAUAAAAAUCAAGAGAGAGAAAGUGGAGGACAUCAUUGAGUGAAAGAGAGGAUUUUUAGGAGAAAAGUUUGAGUGGGGACAACACUUUGAGAGGAAGGGAGGAUUUUUGGGAAAAAAAGAGAGUGAGUGGAAGACAAUAGAAAAGUUAACCAUUAUUUGGGGCACAAUAAAGAGGGGGAAAAUCGGGAAGGAGAGGGGAUUUUUUCGGACAUAAAUCGGAAGAAAAAAAAGCUAGGGUUGUUUUGAAGAAAAGAGAGUUUCUUCUCGGUUUCAUUUCGGAAAGUCUUCUUUCUCCAAUAGUCUGUUCUUUGUGAUUCACAAAAUGCACACAUAAAGAAGAGAGUAUAAGGCUUCUUUGUUAGGUUAAUUUGUGUCCUAAUUUUAUCAAAAAAAAAAACAAAACAAAAACCAAAAAAAUAUAUAUUUUUGUUCCUCCUCCUAUUUUUAGUUUUGGAUUUUUAAUUGCGGAGGCCGGCUGAUUCGAAAACGUUGUUCGUGGGUAGUCGUUCGAGGUUCGAGGCGGAGUGUCCUGUUGCCAUUUCAGUUCCGUAUGAGUUCGUCGCCGGACUAUCUUGUAAUCGCACUUUUCACCAAAUUAAUUGUUAAACAUUGUCAGGUAUGGAGCAAUUUGCUAGAGUUUGAGCAUGACAAAUACCCUAGGACCAUUCUAGUCAAGACCAUUGCAUGCACGAGCUGCUUGAGGAAACUUUUUAUUUUUUAGUCUAUCUUAUGUUGUCUUUUAAUUUUUAGUCUUGUACAGUAGUAUCGAGUCUAUCAGUCUAGUUAAGAUUGUCGAAUUUUUUGUUAUAGUACUUCCUGUUUUGUAUUUGAAAAACCAAAAAAAUUAUAAAUGAAAAAUUCAAAAAGAUUUUUAUUUUUA